UUUCUUUUUGCUUAGACAAUGCCUACACCUAGCUACAGCAGCUCCCUCAUACAGACUCCACAAGCCAAGAGGCCGUGGAGGCAAAUGCAGGCAGCCAGCACACCCCGUACAGCCACCUUGACUGCGGGCGUGUCACCCUAGUCGCCAAGGAAACAUUUGAGGGAAAGCGACAGGCAAUGUGAACAGCCACUUCUCCAUGUAAACAAUACUCUUUCUCUCGGAUGACUCCUACGCCUCGCCACGCCAGCACACUUGUGCACAAAGAUGCUGCGGAGGCACGUGCAGCUCAGAGGCAAGAAGCAGUGGCACUGGUGUCGACAUUCACCCACUUUCUUUUUCUUACACUGAGGCAGCCAGCACACCUCGAACAGCCACCUUGACUGCGGGUGUGUCAGUAGAUUCCUGUUGUACAUAUGCUCAUAAUAAACAUCAGUAAACUUGAACUUGAUAAUAAACUUGAAGGCAAAUGGGA